rnacentral:RNase_P_RNA from 1 species
GUAGUGUGCCAGAUGGUCGCUUGUACUUCGGUUACAUAACUGAGUAGUGCAAGAGGAAAGUCCGGGCAGCACAGAACAAGACAGUUGCUAACGGCAACCAGAGGUAACUCUAGGGAAAGUGCCACAGAAACGAUACCGCCUACAGCAUAGCUGUAUGGUAAGGGUGAAAGGAGUGGGCCUAGUAGACUAGGAUAUCCUACGACAUAUGUCAUAGGGAAAGUAAGAGCCCACAGCGACACAUGGUGACAUGUGAAGGAGGUAAACCCUGUCUGCUGCAAGGAGGUAUGCUUAUUUUCGUUGUUCGCGACAAGUAUGCCGUAUAGCCGCUUGACUUAUGGGGUGAUCCAUAAGCUAGAUAGAUGACCGUCCACGACAGAACCCGGCUUAUCGGCACACUAUAUAA